UACGGAGGGAGCUAGCGUUGUUCGGAAUUACUGGGCGUAAAGCGCACGUAGGCGGCUUUGUAAGUUAGAGGUGAAAGCCCGGGGCUCAACUCCGGAACUGCCUUUAAGACUGCAUCGCUUGAAUCCAGGAGAGGUGAGUGGAAGUUCCGAGUGUAGAGGUGAAAUUCGUAGAUAUUCGGAAGAACACCAGUGGCGAAGGCGGGUCUCUGGACAGUUCCUG
rnacentral:rRNA from 1 species